rnacentral:rRNA from 1 species
GAUGAACGCUGGCGGCAUGCUUUACACAUGCAAGUCGGACGGGAAGUGGUUUUUCCUGUGGCGUACUCGUGAGUAACGCGUAAGAACCUGCCCUUGGGAGGGUAACCACAGCUUUAAACGGCUGCUAAUACCCCGUAGCCUGUGCAGCGUAAGGAGUCAUCCUCCCAAGGAGGGGCUCGCGUCUGAUUAGCUAGUUGGUGAGGUAAUAGCUUACCCAGGCUGUUAUCAGUAGCUGGUCCUAGAGGAUGAUCAGCAACACUGGGGCUGAGACAAGGAGCAGACUCCGAGGGGAAGCAGCAGUGAGGAAUGUUCAGCAAUGGGCGAAAGGCUGAAGGAGCAAUGCGGCGUGGAGGAAAAAGGCCUAGGGGUCAUGAACUUCUGUUCCUGAAGAAGAAACAAUGACGGUAACUGGGGAAGAAGCAUCGGCUAACUCUGUG